GAUGAACGCUGGCGGCGUGCUUAACACAUGCAAGUCGAACGAAGCACCUCUGCCUAAGAUUGACGCAGCUUGCUGUAGCGUGAGUCAUUUACGUUAACUGAGUGCCGGACGGGUUAGUAACACGUGGGUAACCUGCCUCAUAUGGGGGGACAAAAGUUGUAAACGACUGCGAAUACCGCAUAGUAAGAACAAUUCGCAUGGUUUCUGCUGGAAAGAUGUAUCGGUAUGAGAUGGACCCGUGUCUGAUUAUCUAGUUGGUAAGGUAACGGCUUGCCAAGGAGACGAUGCGUACCUGGCUUGAGAGCGUGACACGCUGCAUCGGGAAUGCGACCCGGACCACAAUGCGACGCGGGGGAGGAGUGGGGAAUACUGUAGGCGGAGGGAUAACCUGACGCAGCCACGCCGGGUGAGUGAAGAAGUAUUUCGGUAUGCAAAGCCCUAUGAGAAGGGAAGAUAAUGACGGUAACUGACAAAGAAGCCCCGGCUAACUACGUG
rnacentral:rRNA from 1 species